UACGGGGGGGGCAAGCGUUGUUCGGAAUUACUGGGCGUAAAGGGCUCGUAGGCGGCCAACUAAGUCAGACGUGAAAUCCCUCGGCUUAACCGGGGAACUGCGUCUGAUACUGGAUGGCUGGAGUUUGGGAGAGGGAUGCGGAAUUCCAGGUGUAGCGGUGAAAUGCGUAGAUAUCUGGAGGAACACCGGUGGCGAAGGCGGCAUCCUGGACCGACACUGACGCUGAGGAGCGAAAGCCAGGGGAGCGAACAGG
rnacentral:rRNA from 1 species